AAAACAUCCCACCAACAAUAUCCAACCCAAUCCCUCGACCUAACCCAACAAUAACAAAAGAAGACCCAGCAAACCACUCCAACGUUCUUAUUCCUAGAAAAAAAUGUCACCACCAGAAGCUCACAAAGCGACAACAACACGAAGAUACACGAUGUCUUCACAGUGACACAAAUGGAAGAUGGCGUGAAUGACACCACCAACCCCUACGCCCCUCAAGUUAAGACGAAUUCACGGAAAGCCUUCACGGCGUAAGCAAGACGCGUACCAGUACUCUGUGUUGCCUUGUCUUCUUCCUCAACGUCUCUCUGGCAGCAACAAGAGCACCAACAAUAGGCACGCGUUUAGUUCUUUUGGCUUGAGAUCGAGCUGCGUGGCACUUCGAGGACAUGAGAUGCAUCCUAAACGUCCAUUCCCUUUUCCUCUUUCGAAAUGGGUUCGAAUCUCAGAGAAAAGGGGUGUCUACCUAAACAGUGAAAGAUUUUGAAUCUAUGGGCCUCCUUUCAUCCAAUUUUUCACCCUUUUUUUCCCAAAUUCGAACCCUAAUCCCUUUGUAUAAAGAACCCUUUUCUUUUUGUGUUAGGGAAGUUUUUUUGGAAAAAACAGAAAAUAGCGGAGGUGAAAACUUGUUUUAAAAAAAUAAUACACAUUUGGACAGUUUCCUUUAGUAAUAAGAAGAAUAAUUAUCUAAGUUUUGGAGAGUGGACUUUAUACUUGAGAAAUUCUUAAACAUAUUCUCUAGUUCAGAAUUUCGGGGAAGCUUUUUGUUUUGGUUUCUCAAUUUGCUACUCGUUCAAAUUUGUCUGGUGGAAGUUCGUCAGCGUCUCCGAGUUCGCUGUGCAGAAGAAGGCAUGAACUCUUGAACGAGUCUAUUGGCCUAUUUCGUUUUUUGUGCAUUUCGCAUCGAUCCAAAGAGAGGCUCAACUUCUCUCGUCUUUCGAGUCAACUGGAUCAUUAGAAAUCGACGAACAAAUCUUGGAACCGAAAGAGUUCGAAGCGGAGGAGAAUUGAGAGAUUGGGCCAGGGCCCACAUUUAUUUUAUUUUUUAGUUGUAUUUUGUUAAUCAUUAGGCCUAAAGUCUAAAGAAAAAAUAUUUAUUUUUCAUGAUUAGUGUAGGAUUGGUACCAAUCGAAUGGGCCUAAGACCCAAAACGAAAUGGGUCCAAGUUUCGAUCCAGGCAGACAUAAAUCGAAUUUGGACCCAACUCUCUCUCUCUCUCUUUUACUUUAUCACUUAUUUGCUUGUUAUUAA